rnacentral:rRNA from 1 species
AUUGAACGCUGGCGGCAGGCCUAACACAUGCAAGUCGAGCGAGCGGCGGACGGGGGAGUAAUGUCUGGGAAACCGCCUGAUGGGGAGGGAUAACUACGGGAAACGGGAUCGAAAACCGCAUACCAUCAGAUGUGCCCAGAUGGGAUUAGCUAGUAGGUGGGGUAACGGCUCACCUAGGGGACGAUCCCUAGCUGGUCUGAGAGGAGGACCAGCCACACUGGAACUGAGACACGGUCCAGACUCCUACGGGAGGCAGAAGUGGGGAAUAUUGCACAAUGGGCGCAAGCCUGAUGCAGCCAUGCCGCGUGUGGGAAGAAGGCCUUCGGGUUGUAAAGCACUUUCAGCGGGGAGGCGUUACCCGCAGAAGAAGCACCGGCUAACUCCGGGCCAGCAGCCGCGGUAAUUC